GCACCCGCGGUAAUUCCAGCACCAAUAGCGUAUAUUAAUGCUGCUGCUGUUAAAAAGCUCGUAGUUGGAUCAAGAGUCGGACAGUGCAAGGUGGCCCUGUUUGCCCGUUAUGGUUCCGACCAUGGCGGCGGCAGCGGAUCAACCCCUUGCACCAAACUGUCCGCUCUAACAGGCCGAAACGGUUCCCUGUGAGUAGGUCCCUUCAUUGGGAUCGAAAGCGCCUACGCAUCAACCAUAUGCAUACGGGACGUCGGCCAACGUUACUGUGAACAAACCAGCGUGUCCAAAGCAGGCUUUCGCCUGAAUGUUCGAGCAUGGAAUAACAAGGGAUCGAUUCUCUCGGUUCUUUUUGUUGGUUUUUAACCCGAGAAGGAGUAAUUCAGGCCACGGUGUCUGAGUUUGGUUCCCCUGCUCUUCGGAGUAGGCCCCAAUUAGGCCGUGUCCUUACGGGAUCAAUAGGGACUGACGGGGUCGUACGCACUUCCGCGUCAGAGGUGAAAUUCUUAGAUCGCGGGAAGACGAACUUCUGCGAAAGCAUUCGACAAGAAUGUCUUCAUUAAUCAAGAACGAGAGUGUGGGGAUCGAAGAUGAUCAGAUACCGUCGUAGUCCACUACUGUAAACAAUGCCGUCUCAGGAUUGAGAAGUGAACCAAAUGACUUUCACAGCACUAACCCCUGAAACGAGAAAUCAAAGAUUAUGGGUUCAGGGGGGAGUACAUUCGCAAGGCUGAAACUUAAAGGAAUUGACGGAAUGACACCACAAGGCGUGGAGUAUGCGGCUUAAUUUGACUCAACACGGGGAAUUUUACUAGGUCAGGACAAUGUAAGGAUUGACAGAUUGAGAGCUCUUUCUCGAUCCAUUGUGUGGUGGUGCAUGGCCGCUCCUGGUUGGUGGAGUGAUUUGUCUGGUUGAUUCCGUUAACGAACGAGAUCUCGACCCUUAAAUAGGUGCCCGUAUCGAUUGUAGUCUCACCUCCGCUUGCUUGCAAGAUUGGAGUGGGACGAGAUUGCGGGAAUACUUCUUAAGGGGACUGUAUGCGUUUAUAGCAUGCGGAGGAGCGAGCCAAUAGCAGGUCUGUGAUGCUCCUAAAUGUCCUAGGCUGCACGCGCACUACACUGAUGCAAUAAACGAGUCUGAGUGCCUUCUGGCAACCUACCUGGAAGCGGGUGGGAAAUCUUUUGAACUGCAUCGUGAUGAG
rnacentral:rRNA from 1 species